UGCCUUCAGACAUCAAUGAUGCAUCAUUGGAUCCGGAAACACUCCAACAAAACCCACUGGAGCCAGAGUCUGAGAAUGGCUACGAAUCUGAUGUCACCGAUUCUGGGAGUGAACUUAGUUUUGGUAAAACAACCGUAAAAGCCUCCGAGAAUGACAUGAGUUUGAAGGGUUUAUUGGGCGCAUUUGAUUCCUGGCCCGGUGCUGGCGCGAGCGCUUCGCGAGAAGGCUCCCUAGACGGUGAGAAGGGCGCUAUUUCGGCUAUACCAGAGGAUGAAGACGGUCUUCAUGAUAGUUCUGCAAGUAAAAGUGGUGUUGAUAGCUCGGCGAAUCAGGAGCCGGGCGACGAGGUUGACGGCAGGGGAAGGAAAGAUGGAAAGAAGGCUAUGAAGUCAUUUUGGAAAGAUAGUGAUGGGGGUGACGAGAUAUCGUCUGGUAGUGAGAAUGUUCCCCCUUCAUUUUGUAACCCUAUGCAUG
rnacentral:lncRNA from 1 species